GAAAACAAAUCGACAUAGAAAAAUAUUUAGAAAGACAUUUUGAUGAGCAACAGUAAGUUGAAAACGGUAUCAUCAAACUACGAGAUGUACAUCAUCAAAAUAUGCGAAUUAAAGUACCUCUGUUGUCAUUAAGCGAAGCAAAGUUUUCAACCAGUUCCUCUUGUACUCUGCGUUGAUACCA